GGAACCAUUGUUUCACAAAAUAUUGUAUCCUCCUCUGUGGAUAUUAAUGUUAGAUGUGUUUUGGUAGCAAUGAAGUUUUCUUUGGUUCCCAUACUGGCCUUAUUAGGCAGUUAAGGAGAAAAAAUAUCUGUAUCUACCCACAUUUAUCCUUAAUGAUGAGGAAUAUAGAGGCAACCUUUCCAUAUAUGCAUAUUAUCCCUGCUGAAAAUUAAUGUUAAAACUGCUCUCAAAAACCUACACAAAGGAAGAACUUCAAGGGUAUUCUUGAAGUAAGCUGUGAGUUGAGAAUUAGAGACCCCCAUGCCCAGUAAGAAAUGGAUUUUGUGGUCUCUUUGUACUGUUAAAAUUCCUUUUGGAAAGGAACUCCCACUGUCUAAAGUACCAUAAGGUUUUACAAGUGUUCAGAAGAUGAAAUGCUACCAGAUGUUAAGUUCAAGAAGCAAGUUAACUACUGUUGUCAGAUGGAAGAGCUUCUUUGUGUUUGGUAACUUCUCCUUACCUUCUGUCCCCCUCUGCCCUCACCCCCUCUGUUCUCUUGACCACAGCAGCAGCCAGACUGCCCAUCUCUUCUGCAAGGAAACUGGUGCUCCAUCACACAGAAGGGAGAAACCUCUCUAUUGUACUGGGCAUACAAUUAAAUCGAUGGUUGCUGGGAUUAGCAAAGUCUUUUACUGAAAUGGGUUAUCCAACUAAACUUCUGUGGUUAAAUUUAGCUCACCUUUAAAUGUAUAUUCAGAAGCAGAAGAGAAAUCUCUAAUAGCACAGUGAAAAUGUAUUAAGGGCACAUGAAAAGGAUUGCUCAUGUCCAGCACUCUCACCUUAGUGCUGCUACAAUGAUGCUAUUUUUGCCUUAACACUUUUUUUUUUCUUCAUAAUGUGAUUCAAAUACAUAAAAGGUGCAUGGAUUUGAAGCACAUCAGAGGUCAUUUCCUCCUGUGACUCACUAAUCAGCCUUGGUACUUUCAUAUGUACAGCAGGAACUUUCAGACAAAGUGUUGACAAGCACCAGCCCUGAGCUUCCAGUGAGGCAGAGGUGACUGAAGCAGAUCUGUGUCUGAUCAGAUAAGAAGGAGCCAGGACAAGGCCUCUGCCAGGAACUGAAUGUUUUGGGAAGAACAAAGGAGUUACCCUAAUUCAUGUGCCAAAAUUAGCAAAAAAAGUUUGACUUCUGAGCUCUUUGUCCAUGCAGCCUUCCUGGAAAACAAGGGAAGGAAACCCAUAGAGCUCCCAUGGAACGAUGCAGAACACCCCUGACAGCAAAAAGCAGCCUGGGGAGAGAGCCAGGAGCUGCAGCACCUCUGCCAUAAGGAAUCACUGUUUUGCCCUGUGUAAGUCCUAGACAUUGAGAUCCCAGGAAGGAGAGUGAGGGAUGGAUUGCCUCUCAACAUCACUUUGCAGUGAAUUGUGGCCAGAGAUGGAAAAGCUACAUUAAAAAUUCAAGUUUACCAAUGCAAUGUUCCUGACAGAGCUGAGAGCAGAUCACAAGACCCCUGAGUGUUGUACCAAGCUGAGGGAUGGUCCAAAGAGGCAGGGAGGUAGUGGCAGCACACCAGCAGAAGAGGCAUACAGAGAUGAAAAGUGAGCAGUGCCCAUGCAUUCUGAAUUAAAAAGAGCCAGGAGCUUCACAAACCAGCCAGAGCCAGCCUGAACCAUUGCUCCACAGAAGUAAAUGUUUUUUAUUCAAUAUAAGGAAGCAGAUACAACCUGAGGGAAAAAAACAAGACCAAGAAUGUAGGAGGAAGGUCACCUGGUAAAAAGAGAAUGGUUUGUGAAUUUCAUGGAAAUACUAGAGAAAAAUGCAAGCUGCCAUAAAUGUAUAAAACAGCUUUAUUUAAAUAUGAAAAUAUUGAGCCAGACCACUUUUACUACAGAAACAGUGAAAAACUCCAAACUAUUAGUGACUUCAGUUGACAAAGGAUGCAGUCUUAUAUGUAAUGGAAAGAGGCAGCUGAAGUGGAGCAGAAAUGGAAAGAAACAUUUUAAACUUUUGCUUUUACUGACACAUCCACCUUACUGAAUCCUCCAGUUUCAGGACAGGAAGUAGGUCUGCCUGUGGUUAUAGAAAAAGGACCCAAAAGUAUUUUUCCUUAAAGGACAUACAUCUUCAAAGCCUAAGUGUGAACCAAAUAUGGAAUCUGGACCAUUUUAGUGGGGAAUGUUCACAAUUUUUUCUACAAAUGCAUUCAAAGUCUGUGAAAAAGUCCAAAUGAAGCAUAUAGAUGCUGUAGAUGACACCCCUCUGUUUAAUCAGUAUGACCAAACUGGUGUGCAGGAGUCUCCAGGUAAUACUCUUGGAAACAAUUUGAUUUACCAUUGAGCAGUUUGGUAAGACAAAAGAACACAUGCAGGUUUCUUACUUACAUUUGUUUCCUUGUUUCUAAAUUCCUUCUCCCUCUGUAGUCUGUAGUGGUCUAUCUCGGCUGUGGCUUCUUCCUUGGCCUGCUUCAGCCUUUUACCCUUUCCUGGAGGGGGAAGAAAGAGGCAUUUAUUUCAUACAUCCCUGUAUCCCCACAGAUGAAUCUCUCCAAAUCAGAGAUAUUUCAGCUGGCAUAGUAGAACACUGACUUUGCUGAAAGCCUUGUCCAUCGGAUUUACACAAGAAUGCUCAGAAGAGAUGAAGUCAUUGACUUAGAACACUUUUUGACUGCUAGCCAGUCAUGCAAGUACCCCUCUUUUGAGACCAACUUCCUGUGCAGAAGCACACAUCAAGUGAAGAGCUUCUUGGUUUGCUGACAACAGAAGUCUUUCUGCAAGUAGACAUCUUCCCGCAACACAAAUGCAUUUUUUUUUCUAAUCACAGCUUGGUGUUUAAAUAAAUAUCUAUCUUUUCUUCAUCAGCAAUAGUAGCAGCCAGAUAACAGAUUUUAGUUGUCAUGGAUGGGAAAAGACGUUAUUCUGUAAGAUUUCCUGCAUUGAUUGGUUGCCAGAAUCCCUUCAUCCCACACCAACUGGAUUCUGCUUAGAGCUGGCAGAUAUCCAAAAUAAUGCAAGAUGUCUUAACCACUACCAAACUGAGUUGCAACUUUCAGGCUUUGUCCUUUCCUCCCGCAUCCUCUUCUACUAACCUUUCUUAAAUGCAGAGGUGAGUGACUAAGAUAAGGAGGUCAAUUCUUUGUCAAUGCACAGAAAACAUGAAAGGGAUUAAUUUUUUUUUCUUUUAAUUUUAAACAAGGUGAUCUGUAAGGUGACAUUUUAGCGUGUAGUGGAAACUAGAGCCUUCCUCCUCACCAGGCUUGAUUACAUACCUAAUUUUGUUUGCUGUGAAUAGUUUGUUUUAGGUAAAAUGCUAUGGGCUUGUCAAAUUAAGAGCAUGUAAGUCACUGCAGGACUGGACAUAAGGACCUCUCUGGAUCUAGUAGGGUUGUCAUGUAAAGAAUAAGAGUAAAUGGUUUGAUGGAAAUUUGGUGUUUAAGGUUGUACAUGAAGAAACCCUCUGGGCUUCUCUGUCAUUUAUAAAGUCAGUAAAGUUGCAUGGAUCUCCUCAGGAUUCUGCGACACUACCUUGUGAGGAAACAGUCCAUUUAGAAAAGCAAUUUUCUAAAUGUAAACCUCUUGCAUGGAUUGUUGGUAUGCUAUACUUGAGACACCUGGGCUGGUGCUGAUUUUUGGGGUCUCUUUAUGCUGUACAGCUAGAAUUUUAGGAGCAGGGGGAAUAAGGUUGCUCUCUUUUCUUAACAGGGCUGAAAAAUUGUUUCUUAUCAGUGGCUGAAAAAUUGCUUAGUUGCUUAAAUUAGGAUAUCACAAGAACGUGAGAGUGGCGGCCUAGGCAGCUGAAAGAGCCAUGUUGAUCUCUUGUGGCACACUGAUUUAUUUACUUACAGUAACAACCUAUUUAACACCACUAUUUCCUUUCCUGAAAUCCUAGGAAACAUUCUCUGCCUAGGCUAGGAAGAUGAAAGAUUUCUCGUUUUCUUUCUCCAAGCUGUUACACUGGUUUGGUUACAUCUGAGCUGGGCUUCUCCAGCCUUAUCAGGUGUGUCAUAUAGAAACUUGCUCCCACUGAGCAUGGCAUAAUGAGGAAGCUGACGCUUGAGAGGAAGAUUGCUUUUAAUACACCUGAGAUUCAGCAAAAGCCUGGGUAAAAAAAUGGAUUCAGCAGGAAAUGACUUCUCCAGCUGAAUGCUCUUUCCAAAAUAAUUAUCUGCAGAUGGGUGAGUAGAAGCAGAGAGAUGCACAAAAUGGGAAUUACUUUUAAGUCUUGAUUUCUGGACUACUGGCUUAUUGUGGAACCUUGGGAGUGGCAUGCACACAGGCUUUUAACAGGAAGGAGCAACCUACUGAGGAACUAGAUAGCUUUAUUGACUCCCAGUCCAUCAGUGCAGGGCUCUCGUGUGUGGGAAAUUAUAUUUAUCAGAGUCCUUCUCCCACUGAACCACUGUGCUUAUGUAUAAACGGGAGAGAGGCUGUUUUAAACCUAGUGGGUACUUUUCCAGAGUUUGUAUUUUUUUGAACAAGGCUGAUUUCCCCCAGCUUCUGCCACUCACUGUAUGAAGUGUUGGGACUAGGAUGAGUGAACUGACAGAUCUGUGUGAGAGCCUGACAUAAGUCUGGACAACAAAAUUUGGAACCAGGUUCAGAGCACAGCCAAGCUAAAAUCAACCCUUACACACUGAAGGGUGGUGGAGCGCUGAAAUUCAGCCAAAAUCAUGCAAAAAGAGGGCAAGAAGUGCAGGAGGAUGGGAAAACCAGCCCGGUCCUAUGACAUUUCCUCAGGAUCAGAGGUGAGGUACAGAAAGCCCCAAAUUUGAAGAGAUUUUUGCCACAAAGGUCAUGCUGUGGGGACAAGGAUUACUGCUGGCCCUCUGUUCCUCCUUCCAUCCUUGAAGAUGGAGAGCAGCAAAGCAGCUGUGCUAUGCCUGGUUUCCUUGUCCACAGCCUAUAAUUUUUUAGGCAUUGAGUUAAAUUGGCCAAAUUUUAAAAAACUUGCUGUGACCAGUCAGCACUGUGGAGGAUUUUCUUGCCUAACAUGGGAAGGUGUUAUUAGCAUGGAGAAAGGCUGUAUUCUUCUUUAUUUAGGUAUUUUUGUGAUGUUCAUGAAACACUUUGCUCUGGUUAGAUCCAUAAGAACUGAUGUCUUUUAAGCUGUUGGAGUUUUUUAGAUCUUGGAAGAAAGGCAGUAGAAGGCAAAAAUUUUGCAUUCUAAUUUGUUCAAACACUAAGUUAUCUUACUUUCCAAAAACUGCAAUGCUAAAAUUGGAGUUUUGUUUUCAAACAUAUCAUCUAGGCUUCUAGCUGAAUUUCUGCAUAGAAAUCAAGUCAUUUGAAGAAGUUGCCAAAAAUUAAUCAUAUUUUCUUAAAAUAGAACCAUUUCAGUUGUCUUUGCUAAAUUGUCUGGAAAAUGGGAUUUGGGGAUGUGCAAUGUGAGAAAACUAUUUUGUACUUUUAAUAAAAUAGAAUAGAGGCAAGCUGAGCAUUAUGUAUAGCUUUCUCAGUAGAUAAAAUAUGUCUUGGAUAUUGUCCAAGAAGAGCGCCAUGGAUAUAAUUCUGUUUACAAUAUCUUAUUUUGAUUAACAUUUGGUUUUAAUCUGAUUUUCUAUGAUCUUUCAUCAGAGUUUUCUUUUUAUUAGGCAUGAGAAAUUCAAGGGAAGAUAUAAAAAUCUAGAGGAGAAUGAGUUUUGCUAAGCCCAGUGUUCACGACACAUUUGUUUCCCUUAUUUUACCCAAAAGGAUUUUCAGGAAUUGAUGGCUUGGCGCUGACAAUGCUCAGUUAUUUCUGGGAUCCAAAUUGUGCUUAAAGUAAAAAUGAUAGAUAAAGCAGCACCAUGUUCAAAUGGUCAGAGGAUUGCAGACUGGUUUGGCUUGUGUUUAAUCAAUCUAAUUUCAGCCUUGCAUGUGUUCAUUUAAUUAAUUAUUUAAAACAUUAACAAUUUUUCAGGUAUAAAUUAUAUCAGCUAGUGGUAUCAUGCCAGGCAAAAUGGUAUUGGGCAAGAAGUAAGAAAAAGCAUGUACAGAGGAACUUUAGCAUCAUAUUUUUGCUUUGUUUUGUGUGUAUUAAUAUAAUUUUAUUUGCUAAUUUUUUCAGUUACUUCAAAUGGCUUUUGCAUUACUAACAAGUGCACAUAUGUCAGCAAAAC